ACACUGAGUCAAGAAGCCAGGGAAUGGCCGGGCGCGGUGGCGCGCGCCUGUAGUCCCAGCUACUCGGGAGGCUGAGGCUGGAGGAUCGCUUGAGCUCAGGAGUUCUGGGCUGCAGUGCGCUAUGCCGAUCGGGUGUCCGCACUAAGUUCGGCAUCAAUAUGGUGACCUCCCGGGAGCGGGGGACCACCAGGUUGCCUAAGGAGGGGUGAACCGGCCCAGGUCGGAAACGGAGCAGGUCAAAACUCCUGUGCUGAUCAGUAGUGGGAUCGCGCCUGUGAAUAGCCACUGUACUCCAGCCUGGACAACAUAGCGAGACCCCGAGAUCCGGAGAGGGUCGGGGAGGGCAAGGGGGGA